UUUCCUAUUUUGGUUUGAUCUUUCCUAAAUCCUAAAUGUCCCUAAGUUCCAGCAACAUUGAAGGUUUCCUAUGCAUUUUAGGACACAAAUUAAGGGUUCCUUGUACCAUAACAAACCUUUGCCGUGCACUCCAUCCAUGUUUAAUUCUUGCAUCAAUCAUCACUUCACUUUCACCUUUGAAUCAUUUCAACACCACUCCAUUUUACCCAUGCUUUGCAUCAUUACUUCACUUUCACCUUUGAAUCAUUUCAACACCACUCCCUUUUACCCAUGCUUUGCCUUGCACUUCCUCUAUAAAUGGAAGUGUGUGUAACAUAAAUGGAGUUCAUACUUUGUUAGAUCAUUCACUCCCAUUUUCAACGCAACCUUCAUCCAAACACAUCCAUUCAUCUUCACAUCCAUUCCUCCAUACAAACAAACCUUCAAACACUCACCAACACCUUGUGCCGUAGCAAAGGAAGGGAAGGAAAGUGCUUAGACAUGCUUGCUGUCCAACUUGGAUCGUUGGAGCAUGUAGGUGUUUUCUUUCUUUUGUUUCUAAUGUUUAAAUUCAUUUCCUUUCGUUUUGUUGUAAAUAUGAGUGGCUAAACCCCUCUUGGCUAGGGGUGAUUUCAAAGCCAUGAUUAUGUGUGCAAUAUAAUUUAAUAAAUUCCAGUUAUGAACUCUUGAAUCUUGAAUGCAAUUGGCUUAACUAUUUGAUUGAUAACUUAUUUGUAUUUGUUAGUUAAGGGUCGACACUUAAUUGGCAUGCAUAAAUCCGUUGCUAGAAUAUAAGGAAGUUUCACAUAAUCGUUACAAACUUAUAUUCACAUGUAGUGAAGGUCGCUUAUAAACGAUCGCGUUAAGUUCAAUUCCUAGCAUGAGUGACAUGAUGUCAUAGUUGCAAGUGCUUUGUCAAUACUUAUGAUUUUCAUUAAAUGUAAUGAUCUUUGAUUGUAUCUCUAUUAUGAUGUCAUGUAGGGAACUUUAGAAGAAUGUUUUGGGUUGUCGAAUGAUGUCAUCCAAUUCAAUAAAACAAGGAAAAUAUGAGAGUUAACUAGUGAUGUCACAGUUAAUUUGGAGCAUUGUCGUUCAUAAUUCAAUGAAGUAGUAACUGGAAAUCGAAUUAUUUGCAUACAUGUCAUGUGUGGAGAAAAAGCCUCUAGCUAUCCCAUCCAUCAUCUUAUUUCUCAAAUUUAUUUUACAAUCUGUCUAGUUUUUCAUACUUGUUUGUUUGUUACAACUUCAUCCAAAUCAAAACCCCCCCUUUUAGUUUCUUGUUUCAAAGUGUUUCAAAUCUGUUUUAGUUUGUGUUUUU
rnacentral:lncRNA from 1 species